AGGCAUAAUAUAAAAUGUGUUUAGUUGUGUGGUCCCACUGAUUAAUUUUCUUUGUCAUCACUUGAUAGGAAGAAAAUUGCUUCGAAGCAUGAAAAACUAAGAAUAGGCAGAUCUAGCGUCCUCCCUGUCAUCAUUAAAUCAGGGAAAAAACAACAAUUAACACAGGCAAAGUCUUCCCAAGUAGAUUCAUUUUCUCAGUCUCAACUGACGGCUCAAGAGAGCAAUCAUCUGGGAUCUAGCAAAGUCUUCCGUCAGAAAUUCAAUAGCAGUGUUAGUUCACUCCCUCAUCUGGAAGGCCAAACGAAGCACAAUUUCAUUGUAAACGCCACCAGACCUCAUCCACAAGACAG
rnacentral:lncRNA from 1 species